CCUACGGGUCGCAGCAGUAGGGAAUCUUCGGCAAUGGACGAAAGUCUGACCGAGCAACGCCGCGUGAGUGAAGAAGGUUUUCGGAUCGUAAAACUCUGUUGUUAGAGAAGAACAAGUAGGAGAGUAACUGCUCUUACCUUGACGGUAUCUAACCAGAAAGCCACGGCUAACUACGUGCCAGCAGCCGCGGUAAUACGUAGGUGGCAAGCGUUGUCCGGAUUUAUUGGGCGUAAAGCGAGCGCAGGCGGUCUUUUAAGUCUGAUGUGAAAGCCCUCGGCUCAACCGAGGAAGGUCAUUGGAAACUGGAGGACUUGAGUGCAGAAGAGGAGAGUGGAAUUCCAUGUGUAGCGGUGAAAUGCGUAGAUAUAUGGAGGAACACCAGUGGCGAAGGCGACUCUCUGUCUGUAACUGACGCUGAGGCUCGUAAGCGUGGGGAGCAAACAGGAUUAGAUACCCUUGUAGUC
rnacentral:rRNA from 1 species